rnacentral:rRNA from 1 species
GACGAACGCUGGCGGCGUGCCUAAUACAUGCAAGUCGGACGCAGUUGCGAACGGGUGAGUAACGCGUAGGUAACUACCUAUUAGAGGGGGAUAACUAUUGGAAACGAUAGCUAAUACCGCAUACUAGUAGAUUGACCUGCGUUGUAUUAGCUAGUAGGUAGGGUAAUGGGCUCCCUAGGCAACGAUACAUAGCCUACCUUGGAGGGGUACCGGCCACAACGGGAAUUGAACACGGCCCCAGCUCCCACCGGAGGGAAGAGUAGGGAAUCAUCGGCCAUGGGGGGAACCCUGAACGAGGAACGCCGCGUGGGUGAAGGAGGUUUUCCGAUCGUAAAGCUCUGUUGUUAAGGGAGCGGUACUUAACCAGAAAGGGACGGCUAACUACGUGCCAGCAGCCGCGGUAAUAC